rnacentral:rRNA from 1 species
GUGUCAGCCGUCGCGGUAAUACAGAGGUGGCAAGCGUUGUUCGGAAUUAUUGGGCGUAAAGAGCACGUAGGUGGGUUUGUAAGUCAGAUGUGAAAGCCUUCUGUUCAACGGAAGAAUUGCAUCUGAAACUGCGAGUCUUGAGUGUAGGAGGGGAGAAUGGAACUUCUGGUGGAGCGGUGAAAUGCGUAGAUAUCAGAAGGAACACCGGCGGCGAAAGCGAUUCUCUGGCCUAUUACUGACACUCAGUGUGCGAAAGCUAGGGGAGCAAACGGGAUUAGAUACCCCGGUAGUCCUAGCCGUAAACGAUGGGCACUAAGUAGAGGGAAUUACCGAUGUUCUCUCUGCCGUAGCUAACGCAUUAAGUAUCCCGCCUGGGGAGUACGCUCGCAAGGGUGAAACUCAAAUAAAUUGACGG